GUGCAUCACUUUAACAGCAUCAUCUUUUAGGAUUUGGAAUAGCUCAGCUGGAAUUCCAUCACCUCCAAUAGCUUUGUUCUCAGUGAUGCUCCCUAAGGCCCACUUGUGAAAUUUACUCUCAUGUAGAGAAAGUUUAAUGUUGGGGUAUCCAAAAAUGACAGUAAUUCCCAUAAACACUUUAUGAGAUUAAAAAAAUGAGACAAACCUCACACUGGGUAUGAAAAUAAAAUAAUUAUGAAAAAUAAAAGGAGUCACAAGCUGUCAAAGUUAUAGCAGUGAAAUACUUUUGUCAAAGGAAUAGGAAAUGCUUGAUAGAAAUAUUAGAAAAGAUCAUAAGUAAUCUUACUUUAGGGAAUAAUUAAUGAUGACCAAUGUUUUAUAACAUACAACUAAGUAGGGUUAGAAUGAUUAUUUGAAACUGCUUCUCCAUAGGGAACCUACCUAUCAAACUUUCAGAAAAUACUCUGCACAAUACGUUGCUAAUCUCUUUUCUAGACUUGUGCAUUUCUGACUUUUUAUACCUUUAUCUACCAUAUAAAAUACGAGUGCAAAAUAUGUAUACUUUUCUUAGAACUGAUAACAUGAUAGUUUUCAUAUGGGAAGGGUGAUUUUGCAAAAUUUGGAACCCUGUUGCAUUUAUUUAGCUGUUGGCAUAGGUGAGAUAUAUGGUUGAUGGUGGGGAGGGUGUCAUUGAAAGAAAGGAUAGAGACUCUCUGCCUGCAAUCUCCUUGUUGAAUUUUGUUUUGGUUAUAUAACUGAGUAUUGACAUUCAAACCCUGUGUUCCUAAAACUGGCUGUGGAUUACCAGGCUCCUGUGAGGAGUUUUUUGUGGGGCCCAGAACUUUGCUGUGAUAGUUAAAUGAUGGCAACAAUACCAUUAACCCAUGAAGCCUGUAAGAAACUUGUGGCGCCCCCUCAUGGACAGAUACAUAGGUUCUCCCACUCUGUCCUUUAGGUGAUGAUUUGGGGACAUUUUCAAAGAGGGAUAGGCUGCCAAGAUUAAGCCUUCCAGUGAGUUACCUCACUCUUAAGAAAUUUCAGCAAGUUAUUAAGCAAUUUCAUUUUUUUAACAAGGAAAGUUUCAAUUCUCUAUUCCUAGGCUGUUACAUGUUACUUGGCAGCAUCAUUUUUUUGCUUAGACUCAAGAGUGCUGUCACUACUGGUGACAGGCUGAGCUGAGCGGCAGCCUGGAGUGAUAGUGCACACAUAGAUCUAACCAAUUUGGCUUCAGGGCCUACAAAAUAUUUCACUGACAUGAGUUUUCCAAGAGAAGCCAAUAUUCAGAUUAACUGAAUACCUGAAAAGAUCUGUGCAUCACCUAGCAUCCUUCCGGUUGGCACUGGAGGUUGGGGAGGUGACCAGAUGGCCGUAUUGUGCAAAGCAUUUAUGUUCUUCUCCGAUGACCAGCUUGCCUCUGGGCUCCUGGGAGCAGUUUCCACUGGAAUGGAGCAGAGAGAAUCAUAAUUAUGUCUCAGCCCUAGUUCAUCACCCAAUAGGGGCCUAUAUUUCUCCAUGUGCCCUUAUAAAUCUUUUAGCUAAAUCAGGACUCAAAUGUAAAACCCAGUUCCCAAGGGAACUUUUUAAUAUAAACUAAAGUCUGGUUUAGGCUGAUUUUUUUUUUUUUAGGCUGAUUUUUUUUAACCUUUGUGAAAAGUAUUUACUCAUGAUAGUUCCAGAUUUAGUACAAAGUCUUACUUAUUUUUCAUGACACUAAAAACAAAAACUCCAAAUGAAUGAAAAGCAGAAACAUCCCUCGAACACUGUACAACAUAUAGAUAACAUUCAUUUAAAUUAUGAAAAUACAGUUUAGAAGCUGGUGGAAUAUUCAGAGGAAGCAUAAUAUUUUGGACAAUGCUGCCAUUGCUAUUUUGCUUGGUUUUACUUUUCAACUAAAUAAUGUUUUUAUCUUCUUAUAGUAGAGCCCCAUAAAGGGAUAAAGUAGUGGAAAUAUGACAAACUUACCCUUUCUGUUUUUUCAAAUCUAGUUGUUUUUACAUCCUGUGAUAAUCAUAGAACCUCAUCCUGGUUCUAGAGGGUUAAGCACAGGUUAAAUCCUGAGUAAGUAGUUUUCUAGAGUAAUCUCCUAAGAAGCACUAUUCUGAGCAUCCUUGAAAGAGGAGAUUCUGUCUGGUCAGCACUCCGGGAGCCAAGUACUCUUUUAAAAUCUGGAUUUGUUGAUGCUACAUGUCAAAAUCCAGACAGAGUGAUAAAUUACUCAUAAAUGAAAAGAGAGGCAAUUAUUGCAGUGAUGGUCACUGGCUAUGAUCUUGGUAACUCCAGUUCUAUAGCUUUUCUUUUAGCUACAGGUAUUUUUUAUCCUGAACAUCUGAUUCCCAGUUUGAACCUGUGAAUAAGUUACUGGAAGCUAUUAGGAAAAAAAUUAUGCUGUCUGAAAAUGAACCUUGGUGUUUUUUAGAAUCCUUCGAAGAAAUAAUAGAAAACCCAGGGACCACUAAAUGCCCUGUGAACUGCUGGGAAAAAAAUAGCUUAUAUUUUCUGGAGGAAAAGUGACUCUCUGUAUUUAUGUAAUCAUUUCAGUUAUGAUUCUGCUUAUUAGCUAUAAACCCCAGAAGUCACGAGGUUAAUAGGAACCUUUCCAAAGACACACACAUUAAACUUGGGGAAUAAGGUCAUACAUUUGUAGAAUUCAGGGUUUAUUGGGACGGGUAUCUGUCUCACAUUAGAGAUUUUGCAGGGAACACUGGCUCCUGGCACACACUCUCUUGGCAUCUGUAUUCCUUUUGUCUGCAUCAAGUUCUGCUUGUUCCUCAAACCAUCAGAAGCUAUUUAAGUCGAAAGGGGUGGAUGCCUCCUAUACCCGGAAUCAUGCAAGCAGUAAGACAUGUGUUCUACUUACCCAGUUAAGAGAGGGCUUCAACAGGAAGGCUUGUCGUAUUAGUGAUACUUCUUUAUAUUUUAGUACAUUACUUACAUUGGAGUCAUUUUUGAGUUUUUCGUUGACUUGCUUUGAAUUUCUAUCUUUUUUAUUAAAUUCAGUUCAAAAUUUCUUUGUUGUUUUCAGUAUGUGCUGAGUACCAUGUGCAAAUGCUAUAGAGGGUGCUGUAAAUAAAACAGAAGAAAUACAGUAAAAUAAUUAGCAUAUGAAAAAUUUCAAUCUCAUGAGUAAUUGGCAAAUAUCGAAGUAAUACUUUUCACCCCAUCAAAUGAUCCAAGAUUAAGAAAAAAAGAAAGUCGGUGUGAUGAUGAAGCCAGGGCAUUUUUUUGUGCUCUACUGGUAGUGAGUGUUGUAAGAGAGAUACAAACCACAAGCCCCCUGGGAAGGAUCACAGUUGGAAACAUCAGGGAAAGUUUCUGGAAGGAUUUUGGAAGAGAAAUGGAAUUUAAACAGAUGGAGGAUGGAAAUGAAUGCAGGGCACAGGGCUUGAUGAAGGCAACCUUAUAUGGACUUGAGCGAGCAGACAUUGUGAGCAAAUCAUCUCGGUGGCAAAAUGUGCCCAGGUGUCUCCCCGGGACACAGGAUUCCAGAAGCAGCUAAGAAGUGGCAACUGCAGAUCUGAUUGAGUUUGAAUUCAAGCUCUCUCCCUUAUAAACAAGGCAGGGUACAAAGAAUGUCAACAAAAUGAAUCAGUUUGAAAAAAGUUGGUCUUGAAAUAAAUAGAACUGGAUAGAAGUUUGGGAUAGAAAUCCGAACUGUCCAUAUGAAUUCGAAAUGAUUGGAAGAACUGGACUCUGAGGCUUUCACUGGACUCUAAGGAUACUGGAGUGAAAUGAAGAGGACCCUUCAUUACACCCAUCUCAAGAGCCUGGACUAAAUAAAUGGAACAAAACAGUA